GCUGCCAUCAGACUGGCCUAGCCGUUAAUGCUCAGAACGGGGCCCAGGGCUUCCUGCUUGGCUGCUAUGUCUGCCUCAGGGGUGCACCGCUUGUCCUCCCAGCUCUGGCCACAGAAGGAGAGCACCUAGCAGGGGGCGGAGCAUGGCCACUGCAAGAUGAGCUUCACAUCCCAGGUAACUAGAGCAGAAGUCCUCAGCUCGUCAUCUCCCCAGAUCUUUUACUCAACCCAGUUUCCAGCUGACACAGUCCACGGUGACACACACUUCACAGUGACACAUAGUCCACGGGCAGUAUGGAGAUGGGGAAGGGGAUCCUACAGGAAGGGGAGGUGAAGAGAAUGGAGCAGCUAGAAUUUGAGCUCCACAGUCAGCACCGCUAAAUCUUUCCUCCCUGAAGCUUUCCUGAAGCAGCACUUCGAGGCUAUGGAGUUGGAGGGUGGCGACCCUGAGCCUGGAGACCUCUUCCUGUUCAGGCUGAUGUCCCCCACUGGACACUGGUGCAGGGGCCCACGUAGGCAUGUACUGCAGCCACGGAGAGAGUAUCCACUUCGAGGGUGUCAGUCAAUGUGGACUUGACCUUGGUGGACUACAGCUGACCUCAGGUCCUCCAGUGUGGGUAUGGGGGCUUCAGAAAUGGUCAUUAAAUUUUUCCGGAGGUGAA